rnacentral:rRNA from 1 species
UACAGAGGGUGCGAGCGUUAAUCGGAAUUACUGGGCGUAAAGCGUGCGUAGGUGGUUGAUUAAGUCGAGUGUGAAAUCCCAGGGCUUAACCUUGGAAUGGCAUUUGAAACUGGUUGGCUAGAGUUCAGGAGAGGAAAGUGGAAUUUCCGGUGUAGCGGUGAAAUGCGUAGAUAUCGGAAGGAACAUCAGUGGCGAAGGCGACUUUCUGGAAUGAUACUGACACUGAGGUACGACAGCGUGGGGAGCGAACAGG